rnacentral:rRNA from 1 species
ACCCGCACAAGCGGUGGAUCAUGUUGUUAAUUCGAUGAUACGCGAAGAACCUUACCAGGUCUUGACAUCCCUUGCAAAGCUAUGGAGACAUAGUGGAGGUUAUCAAGGAGACAGGUGGUGCAUGGUUGUCGUCAGCUCGUGUCGUGAGAUGUUGGGUUAAGUCCCGCAACGAGCGCAACCCUUGUCUUUAGUUGCCAUCAUUCAGUUGGGCACUCUAAAGAGACUGCCGGUGUCAAACCGGAGGAAGGUGGGGAUGACGUCAAGUCCUCAUGGCCUUUAUGACCAGGGCUACACACGUACUACAAUGGCCGGUACAAAGGGCAGCCACUUAGCGAUAAGGAGCCAAUCCCGUAAAGCCGGUCUCAGUCCGGAUUGGAGUCUGCAACUCGACUCCAUGAAGUUGGAAUCGCUAGUAAUCGCAGAUCAGCACGCUGCGGUGAAUACGUUCCCGGGCCUU